GACAUGCAUUUCUCUCUCUCCAGCACCCUUCUUCUGAUAUUAGUAGCAUCGAUACACUCUAUUAAUUAUCUAGAUAAGACAAAUCUUUUGUUCACAUGUCCAUGCCCUAUUUUUUUCUCUAUACCAACAUUCACUAAACAACAUGUGGCAUGCUACAGAUCCAAAAUAAGAGAACCCAAAUAUGUAAACACAGACAAUCUAAAAUAAGAGAGUAAAAUUUAAUAGCAACUUUUUUUUAACUAUAGCAAAUAGGCAAUACUUGUAAAGGCCAUCCAAGCCUGACAUAUGGGAUAGCAUUGACUCAAUCUCUGGACUCAUCUCUUACCAACACGUGUCAUGCC
rnacentral:lncRNA from 1 species